rnacentral:lncRNA from 1 species
GCAAAACACAAGAGUCUGAGAACAACGACACUCCAUCAGGAGUCCGUCUGGCCCAAUCCUCUCUCUCCAGUGGCACCCCAUACGUGUCUGAAGGAGAGUAGAUGAGGAGCGCAGGUCUACUUCUGUCAGGGUCCAGAGGGUGUUCAUGGGCCUCAGUGCCUGGGACCGGCCUCCUCUGGGACGUGCACUGCAGAUAGCCCCUCAGACCUACGUCAGAGCUUGUCAUGCAGAACUAUAUGCAUGACGUAUCAUAGCUGUUCUGUUCCGUUCUGUUCCAUUCCAUUCUCUUCUGUUCCAUUCCAUUCCCUGCACUCACAAUGAGUUGUAUAAUGAUAAGACCAUUAUUUACCUGAAAUGCCAAGGGGUUUUCAGCACCAAAACCACUCAAAGACACAAAUCAGACAGGUUAUGGGUGGAAAGAGGAUUUUACUUAUUUAUAAAGUUAUUUUAUUUGUCUUAUUUUAAUUUAGUUUAGCUUAGUUUAGUUUAGUUAAUUUUAGCCUAGUUUAGUUUAGAUUAUAUUCUCUUUUUCUAAAUCUGUCAGAGCUGAUGCCCAGAAGCAUUAACUCAAUGCACAUGCGUAGCCAGCAGCAGGCUGACGCAUCCUACAGUUUAGCUUGAAAAAACAUCCCUUGCAGCCUGACAAAGAAAAGCCAGGGCAAGAGCGGUGCCGUGGUGGUGCGAGAGCAGUGCAAGAGCCCAGCCAGAAUGAGCCGGGGAAGACCUGACAAGGGGGGGUGCUCAAUGCUCCAGAGGACAGCAGCAAGUCCCGGGGCCACGCUGGGGCCACCCUGGGAGUCCAGAAGGCUGCCUCCCCCCGGAUGCGGGGCACGAGGGCCAGCUGCGUGGAGCACGAGCAGCUGCCUUUGGGCCACAAUAGCCCAAAGGAGCCCCAUGAAGGGGCUGUGCUCGGCUGCGGAGGAAGGCAAAAAACCCCGGGGACACUUGCUGGUCCACCCUGGGGGCAAAAAAGCCCUUCCCCCCCCAGCUGCAGGACACGAGGGGCCGCCUUCGUGGUGCGUGAGCACCAGGCGAUAACCCAGCCAGAAUGGAGCGAGGAGCCCUGACAAGUGGUCAUGCUCGGCACUCAGAGGAAGGCGAAAAACCCCCGGGGACCAGUGCCAAUCUGCCCCGGGGGAAAAUUCCUUCCUGACCCCAGCGCUGGCGAUCGGCUACUCCCUGAGCACGUGAGCAAGACCUGCUCCCGGUCCACGGGCUGGUUAUGGCUCUUGGGGGACACUGGCACCGCCUUUUCUGCCUCCACCUGGAGCCAUCUCAGGGGCUUCCGAGAAUAGCAAAGUGCUGCUGAUGUGAUCAACCCUGGGGGCAAGAAUCCUUCCUGUGCCGGGCAGUGGGAGCUCCAAGGCACUGGGGGAGGGCAGUGGGCCAUCUGUGGAUCCUAUUUCUUGUGGCUGCUGCCACUAUCUCCCCAGAAGAUGAGGACGGCGAGCUCCCCGAAGACUGAAGCAGGAUUUCCAUCCAUCCAUCCAUCUGAUGAGCUGUGAGUGUGGCCCCUCCAGGAGCUGGAAUUGCAGCGGAGAACCUCCAGCAGCUUCGGGCAGUCUUCUUGCCUCAGCUCCUCCAAGUAAAUCCACCAGUGCCUCAAGGAAUUCCUCUUGGGUGCCUUCAGGCUGCCAGCUCUGUCCUGGUGGCAGCACCGGACGCUCUGGCAGUGGGACACGGGAGGAUGCUGCCUUAUACUGCCCCAGGGCACUGUGAUGCUGUGCUGGCGGGGGGUGGCACUAUGACACGGGGGUGGCGGGGCCCCCGCAGCCCUGCCCAGCGCAGCCCUGCUGCUGCCCUUUUGCCCAGCAUCCCUUGGAGAAAGGCCUUUGGGGUGCUGGCCCCGAGGCAGUGCCUGUGCCCAGGAGGCCCAGGGGGAUGUCCCUGCCCAUGGUGGCCACACACUGGGCACCGCUGUUGGGUGUCCCUGUAGAUUAAUCUGUAUGUUCAGACUGUAUCAAUAAAGGCUUUUAUACCA